GACGAACGCUGGCGGCGUGCCUAAUACAUGCAAGUUGAGCGCUGAAGGUUGGUACUUGUACCGACUGGAUGAGCAGCGAACGGGUGAGUAACGCGUGGGGAAUCUGCCUUUGAGCGGGGGACAACAUUUGGAAACGAAUGCUAAUACCGCAUAAAAACUUUAAACACAAGUUUUAAGUUUGAAAGAUGCAAUUGCAUCACUCAAAGAUGAUCCCGCGUUGUAUUAGCUAGUUGGUGAGGUAAAGGCUCACCAAGGCGAUGAUACAUAGCCGACCUGAGAGGGUGAUCGGCCACAUUGGGACUGAGACACGGCCCAAACUCCUACGGGAGGCAGCAGUAGGGAAUCUUCGGCAAUGGACGAAAGUCUGACCGAGCAACGCCGCGUGAGUGAAGAAGGCUUUCGGAUCGUAAAACUCUGUUGGUAGAGAAGAACGUUGGUGAGAGUGGAAAGCUCAUCAAGUGACGGUAACUACCCAGAAAGGGACGGCUAACUACGUG
rnacentral:rRNA from 1 species